CAGAAUCACAAAUCCCAGGGGCAGAGAAAGCAGCAAGAAAUGUUGCCUCAGAAGGAGCUUUUUCCCAUCGUGAGGAUGCUUGGAGCCUGGCCUUGAGUGAGGAGUGAGAUGCUGCUCUUCAGCUCCUAGGCAGUGGAGGUCCUGCAUGUUUUUAUGAGCCAUGGACAAUGAUGCUGACACUGCUGGUCUCAAGACUGAUAGUCUAGAAGUGGUCCUCCUAUUUCACUGAACAUAAAAAUGACCUGAUAAGCCUGUUGAAAAAGCAGAUUCCAGGGCUGAUUCAGAAUGUCAGGAAUGGAGUCCAGGAAGUUCAUCUAUAACAACUUUUCAGUGUUUUUGGGCAUCAUGGUUAUGCAGCCACAAUGCUCUGGGGGUCUCUCCUUGGAUCUUACACUGCUUGUUUUGGCUUACGGACCAGUGCAUACUUUUAUGGCCAUUCAUUACUACAGGAAUGAAAAUAAGGCCCUUGAACCACUCCCCACCAUCCUAAAGCAGCUUCUUCUUACAUGGCCUUGGAUCAGCUCGCCAUCCACGUCCAACAGAACAAAUGCUAGCACAGGGGUCUUCCGUGGCUGAGACAGGUUCUGUGACUUGCAUUUGACUGAUGAAAUAUGGCAGAAGUGACACUGUGUGACUUCUGAAGCUUGUGCAGAAGAUGCUUUGCAUCAUCUUCCAGGAGUUCUUGAAACACUUUUUGGGACCCAGCUACCACAUAGUGAGAAGACCCAGCCACACACAGGUGCUCCAGUGGACAGCCCCAUCUGUGCUCCAAGCCAGCAUCAACUGCCAGCCUUGUGAAUGAACCACCUUGGACUUUCAGCCCCAUUGAGCCUGCAGACAACUCCAACCCUACAUACUGCAUGACUGCAGUAGGAUGAAAUAGAACAGGCCCAGGGAGGUUUUGUGCCUAGCUUGAGUCAACACUGCUCUGGUGGUGGUCAGUCUCCUGCUGCUCGGUCCACAGUGCACACUAUUUCUGCUCUCUCUGGCUGGAGAGUCAGGGAAACUGUUGAGCCUACGAUAAUGAAGUCAAUUCUGAUCAACUGAGAUGCAGGAGGAACUCUGAGCAAGAUGAAGAAGGGGUGAAUGGUGACCUGUUCAGCCUGGCUGUUGGGCAUCCCCGGCUUUCAGCAGCACUGGAGGAAACGGAGCCAUGAUGGGCAACACACCAGGCAACAGCCGGGUCCUGCAAUGACUGGAAACUCAGCCAGCGGUUUCCAGGAGAUUCUCCACUCACCAGGAAAUUGCCCAGCUGAAUGGAGACAGGGAGUUGCUCCUCUGGUCCUCAGAAAGGAAAGAGAACCAGCAACGACUGCCUCUUCCACUGGCAUCUCUACCUGGUCAAAGAACCAACCAGUCACAAAAGAAAACCUUGGUGAACAUCAGUGGGGAGAAUGAAAUUAUGCUCAAUCAGCAGGAUGACCUCAAAAUGAUGAGGAAACAAGUUCACAGUGGAUUAGGAAUGUCCCUGAGUUCAUCCAGAGCCUGAAGAGGCCAUUGGUUCUAUGCCCCAAUGCCUGUAUAUAUGAUGGGACAGUGAAUCUGGGUGCUUUCUGUGCUCCAUGUGGAGAAGGUGAAGCAGUCACUCUUGUCAUCUCUCUAAAGAACUGAGUUGGAGCGCGUCUUUGGAUAGGAGCCGUGCUGCUGCUGACUGGGGAAGAGGUGUGGUCUAAUGGUGACUGAGCCUGCCAGAAUUUUGAAACAGACAGGUGUCCAGAUCAUCUUGGCUCAUCUGGAUUUUGGAUGCUUUGUCACUGAGAAGAUUAGGAAGAUGAGGCUCAGAAAAAUGAAGUGACAUACCUCUGAGUGAGGCAAAGCUGAGUCUGGUGACUCCAAACCGCAGUGAGCUGCUGCAUCCCUGGUGAUGAGACGGGCUUCCUGCUUUCAUACAAAGCUCUCGAGUCUUCUCCAAAGAGUACACCCAAGACCUUGCCCGGUAAAACUGGAUGACUUUCCUCAGGCAUAGGAAAGGUCCCACCUUCUUUUCAGAUACAGUCCUGAAAAGAAGAGCAGAAAGCACCAAUUCCAAGUGUACUCUACUUCCUGUAAUCUCCAGCUCUAGGUACUGAAAAGAAACAAAAAGCUUGGUAGCAGGCAAAGGAACAAACACUUGUAGGGAUGCAGAUGUCCCUGCCUCACUUGGUGCCACCUGGAAAAACCUCUAAUUGGCUCAAAUCCCUCCUUUCUUACCACUUUUAAUUGAUAUGCCUGGUCCUGAACUCACAUUCAACAUUCCCAUCCUAAUUCCUGGACUGGUGGGGGUGGCAUGGAGGUGGAAAAUGGGGUGGUAUGAAUGAAACAUGCUUGGGCAUGAACUCAUGAAAUUACUGAAGCUGGUGGUGAGUACAUGAGCAUUGACUAUACUAGCUCCUCUAUUUCUGAUUACGUUUGAAAUUUUCUAUUAUAAAACAAAGAAAAACGAACACUUAAGAUCCUCCAAUGUUCCUUCUUUCAUUUUGCUUAUCACUGCCUCUAGUGAUGUUCUGUUUUCAAGAAACUAAUGUGACUUGAUUCAGGUUGUCUUUUACUUCAAAGAGAAUGCCUUUAUUUUAUCCAUAGGGCUACUCUAAUGAGUCAAAUUUCUGAAUCCAUUAAAAUCAUGGUUCAGUGGAUCAAAAUUCACUUCAUCCCUGAAAGCUUGGAUAGGCUUUGUAUAUUAUCCCAUCUAUUCCCUUCCUAUUGGCCCCUCAGGGUUCUGAUCAAUGGUUUACCUUUCUGUCCUCUUGUGACCAUGGCAACUUUUAUCAUUCAGGGAUUAAGUUAGGCUUACCCUCUGAUUCCACGUGCCCUGUGAAAUCGGGAAUGUUUCUCCAUUCUCAGUUGGAAGGCCUGCAGUGGAAAAAUGGACAGUCAGCCUUUGAGGAACUUCACUUCCCACAUCUCCAAGCCUGUCCCAUCCCACUGCCACACAAACUGCCCAGCGACUGUCCUAUCUUCUAAGGCAUGAGACCUCGCACUUUAAAACUGGAAUAUUUUCCACAGGCCCUCAAGCCACGAAAUCAUUCCCUUUGUUUCACAACGCUCUAGAGUAAUAGUGUACAUGUUUGCCAUGUACACAUGGCCUCCACUGGACAGCCAUGGGACCGUGUCCACACCCCUGCCAUACCUGGCUAUCACACUGUGUUCUGUGCUCUUCUCUACACCUGCUUCUCUCCAGUGAUGGCGCUUCUUCAGGACAGGGGCUAGACAGUCUUUUUUAAAUCCGCAGGACCCAGUGUUCUAUUUGACUUAUGGUAGAUGAUUCACAUGCAUUUGUUAAGUGAAGAAAUGUCAUAAUCAUACUGAAAUGUAAGCCUAUCUACUUGGGAAGAAAUUUAUUUGGAAAUACUGUAUUUGGAAACAAACAAAAAGAGCAUUCUGUAUUUAAGUCUUCCAGCAGACAAAGGUGACCAUGUCAUACCGAUCUUUUGAUGACCUCCCUUUCCAUACGUGUGAGCCAUGACUUGACUUCCUUAGUCUGAGUCUUUUUUUUUUUUUUUCCUUUUUACAGUGGCACCUGAGGCAUAUGGACAUUCCCAGGCCGAGGAUCAGAUCAGAGCCACAGCCGUUGCCUAUGCCAAAGCCACAGCCACACCAGAUCCGAGCCACAUCUGCAACCUGUACCACAGCUUAUGGUAAUGCCUGAUCCUUAACCCACUGAGCGAGGGCGGGGAUGGAAUCUGCAUCCUCACGUCAACAAUGUUGGGUCUUUAACCUGCUAAGCCACAACAGGAACUCUGAGUUUGUCUUACUAGUCAUUCUGCCCCAACUCUACCUCUUCCAAAUCAGUCACUUGAAUGAAAAAGAAAAACCAAAAUUUCCAUUUGUGCUUUUGUUAAGAUUGAACCAUCUUCCUUUUUUUAAUUAAAAUUUUAAAAAAUUUUUUGAAAUAAUUUUUUCCAUUAUAGUUGAUUUACAGUGUUGUGUCAAUUUCUACUGUAUAGCAGAAUGACCCAGUCAUACACACACACAUAUAUUCUUUUUCAACCAUCUUUUAUCAUUAAACCAAACUCUAUAGCUUCUUAUGGCUAUAGCUAAAGACUUCAUGACUCUUGUUUACUCCCAAAGGCCAGUUAACAUUCCUCUGUGCUGUGAUUCCCAAGGAGCCCAAGGAUGGGGUUAGAGAGAGUGUACGGGAAGAACCUUCUCUACAACAAGGCAAUGGGGAUUGACUUUGCUCCACCCUGUCUUUGUUGGUUCUGUUUCCAGGACACACAGGAAGUGGAUGAAGAUUUGUAGUCUAUUAAAGAGAAGCACCCCUAAGCUGCACCUUGAAAGAAAACAGAAGGGAGAAUCAGCAGGCUCUGCCCUGCUAUGCUACUGAGAAGUUACUAGAUUACACAGGCAUCCAACCAUAAUUUUUUUUCUUCCACUAGCAUAAAUCACACCAAUAUGACAGAACUCAACAUGUACUUGAGCCAAAUGUGCAUAUCAUGAUUCUUUUGUCAUCUCAACCAAAUCCUAAAAAGAGGACUUUUAUAGUUCUGCCCAUCAUUAGAAACAUGACCUUUUCUUAAUGGGCCUGAAAGGGCAAGGAGCCUUGAACAGCUGUAGCUGAAACUCUCCUCUGCUCACCUGCCCUCUCCUGCCAGUUUUCAGUACCUCCUGCCCUUCUGCACAGUUGGAUGAACUGCACCCACUCUGGCUUUGCCACACCUUGACCACUCACUUGGGUUCAUCUUACAGUUGAAGGGACUGAGACUUGGAGAAAUUAAGACUGCUUCCCUUGCAGGACUGAGUCUCCAGUGAGCUCCCUGAUAAAAAAUCCCAAAGAGUAGUGUGUGGGCUGCAGUGCUGCAGGGGCUCAGGAAAGUGAAGGGCCCAUCCCUUGCUCAGACAAUGCUGCUCCAGCUUCCCGAGGGCAUGUCUCUGCUUCUUUUCUGACUCCAUCAUUGUCCUGGCUGCCCCUCAAGGCCAGCGCCCCUGACUCUGUCUCAUGGCACCCUCUCUCAUUAUGCACUCAAUAAAUGCCGUUGACAGACUGGCUGACUGCCUGCCUGACUAAAGAUGGCAUCUUUCCACCAAGGGCAACUGUCCUUUGCUGCCUUUAUUUAUUGCUUAAUGUCAAAGGGUGUCAUCAGCAUGAUAUAAUUUUCCUGAAAUGCAUAUCAGGAUUAAUAAGAGAGUUAAAGAAAUCUAAAUUGUUGGAGAAUAUGGGUCCUAAUUGGUAUCAUGUCAUUAGUAACAGGGCUUAAGUAAUGUCUCACAGGUGUAGAAAUUUCUUGAGUUAAACCUGUCAAUUUAACCCUGAUUUUUCUCUAAAUGUUCCCAAUUUUUAUGACAUCAUUCCUAGGUACAUUAGUACAUUAGAUAAUUUUCAAGAGAAUAGAGUUACUUCCUAUUACUUUAACUUUGGGAGGCAAAAUUAAGUAUAAGAAGCACAUUUUAUGCUGUUUAACAAAUGAUAAGAAUUUUUAAAAUAUCCAUUUUUCCAUUUGAAGAUCUCCCUGUUUUUUCAACAAAUUGUCAGCAGGCCUUGCAAUCAAAGCAAAAGCAUUUCUCUCCCAAGCUAUGUUCAUCACCGUUCUUGCUUAUAUGAUAUGCAAGAGGAUGGGGAGAAACAUUUAAGUUCACUCAGAUCCCUGGACAGCUUCUUCCUUAGUAAAACAUUAAAUAAAAGUAUGCAUACAUACAUACAUACACAAACACACCCCAAAGAAAUAGUAAAUCCAGUUUUAUGAGGUUUACAAAAUGAUUCUAAAUUUUUAAAAAAUCCAUUCGUUAUUUUACCUUUCCUGCCAUUCUUUAAAAUCUCCAAAACUGUUGCUCUUGCAAACACUCCCAAAAUGCUGUCAGAUGGGUUAUCAUUGCCUUGCACUUUUGUUCUUUUGUUAAUUUUGGAUAAAGUCCUAGAGUGUAGCAUUAUUAUUGAACUCAUUUCUGCUUAGGUCUCAAGUUUCCAUAGCUCCUCUAUUACCAAGUGGCAGUGCACCCUAUAGGCACAAUAAAUAAAUAAUACAACACUGAAGCUAUAACAAAUCACAAAAUACAUUAUUAAAAAAAUUAAGAAAUAAAUAUCCUCUUCUUACUUAAAUAGAGAUUGAUUUUAUAAUGUGGAAUGCUGAGGAGAGCUGCUCUGAGAUAUAUUAAAGCCUGGGGAUAUGGAGAAUACACUGUAAUGGGCAUUUUGCUCCCACAGCCAGAGGAAAAAAAAAAUCCUCCAAGUGAAUGGAUGUAUUUGUGAAAUGGAGGCUGAUAUUCCGUGUUUGUUCACAAGCCAGAUAUGAUGCACUGCCACCUUCAUCAUGUGAGGGAGGAGAGACCUGCAGGACACAUCUGUCUUUCCUAAGCACAAACUGAGAGUCUAAAUGAGAGUGAUGAAGACAAAUGCCUUCCUGAAAAUGAAGUUGGAGAAGCACUGUUUCUUUCCUUUGACUUAUAAUUCCAAUUCUGGCUUCCAAAAAGAUGUUCUCGAACUUGGAUUCUGCCAAGCUUCCUCCAAGGUGUUUUAUUUAACAAGGAGAGGAUAUGGCAGAGAUCUCUCCACAAGGUGUACAUUCAAAAGAAAAAAAAAAA
rnacentral:lncRNA from 1 species